UCCAUUGAAGGUUUUCUACGAGAAAAUAUUUUACUAUCACUCAGCGAAGCAACAAUGUAGAACUAACCAAUGUCGAAUGAACGCUCGAGCCUACUAAUGU